AUUGAACGCUGGCGGCAGGCCUAACACAUGCAAGUCGAACGGUAACAGGAAGCAGCUUGCUGCUUUGCUGACGAGUGGCGGACGGGUGAGUAAUGUCUGGGAAACUGCCCGAUGGAGGGGGAUAACUACUGGAAACGGUAGCUAAUACCGCAUAACGUCGCAAGACCAAAGAGGGGGACCUUAGGGCCACUUGCCAUCGGAUGUGCCCAGGUGGGAUUAGCUAGUAGGUGGGGUAACGGCUCACCUAGGCGACGAUCCCUAGCUGGUUUGAGAGGAUGACCCGCCACCCUGGAACUGAGACACGGCCCAGACUCCUACGGGAGGCAGCAGUGGGGAAUAUUGCACAAUGGGCGAAAGCCUGAUGCAGCCAUGCCGCGUGUAUGAAGAAGGCCUUCGGGUUGUAAAGUACUUUCAGCGGGGAGGAAGGGAGUAAAGUUAAUCCCUUUGCUCAUUGACGUUACCCGAAGAAGAAGCACCGGCUAACUCCGUG
rnacentral:rRNA from 1 species